UACGGGGGGGGCAAGCGUUGUUCGGAAUUACUGGGCGUAAAGAGCUCGUAGGCGGUCUGUUGCGUCGGCUGUGAAAACCCGGGGCUCAACUCCGGGCCUGCAGUCGAUACGGGCAGACUAGAGUUCGGUAGGGGAGACUGGAAUUCCUGGUGUAGCGGUGAAAUGCGCAGAUAUCAGGAGGAACACCGAUGGCGAAGGCAGGUCUCUGGGCCACUACUGACGCUGAGAAGCGAAAGCAUGGGGAGCGAACAGG
rnacentral:rRNA from 1 species